rnacentral:rRNA from 1 species
UACAGAGGUCUCAAGCGUUGUUCGGAUUCAUUGGGCGUAAAGGGUGCGUAGGUGGCGCUGUAAGUCGGGUGUGAAAUUUCGGAGCUUAACUCCGAACUGCAUUCGAUACUGCGGUGCUUGAGGACUGGAGAGGAGACUGGAAUUCGAUGGUGUAGCAGUGAAAUGCGUAGAGAUCAUGAGGAAGACCAGUGGCGAAGGCGGGUCUCUGGACAGUUCCUGACACUGAGCACGAAGGCCAGGGGAGCAAACGGG